rnacentral:rRNA from 1 species
AUUGAACGCUGGCGGCAGGCCUAACACAUGCAAGUCGAGCGGAUGACGGGAGCUUGCUCCUUGAUUCAGCGGCGGACGGGUGAGUUAUGCCUAGGAAUCUGCCUGGUAGUGGGGGACAACGUUUCGAAAGGAACGCUAAUACCGCAUACGUCCUACGGGAGAAAGCAGGGGACCUUCGGGCCUUGCGCUAUCAGAUGAGCCUAGGUCGGAUUAGCUUGUUGGUGAGGUAAUGGCUCACCAAGGCGACGAUCCGUAACUGGUCUGAGAGGAUGAUCAGUCACACUGGAACUGAGACACGGUCCAGACUCCUACGGGAGGCAGCAGUGGGGAAUAUUGGACAAUGGGCGAAAGCCUGAUCCAGCCAUGCCGCGUGUGUGAAGAAGGUCUUCGGAUUGUAAAGCACUUUAAGUUGGGAGGAAGGGUUGUAGAUUAAUACUCUGCAAUUUUGACGUUACCGACAGAAUAAGCACCGGCUAACUCUGUG